CAAGGGUAUUGUAAUAAGGUUUUAAUUGAAUGCUAAAAGAAUGGAAUUACAGGGAAAAGUUUUUUUAAAUUUAAUAAUUGAAGUUAUUUUAAUUUGUGAAGAAACAAUUAUAUAAAUUAAAGACAAGAAGACCCUAAGAAUUUAAGAAUUUUUAUUAAUAUAUUAUACGUAUAUAUAUAUAUAUAAAUAAAAUUCUUAGUUGGGGCAACUAAAAAAUAUAUUAAACUUUUUUUUUAAAAAAAUGAUCCAUUAUUAAUGAUAAUAUGAAAAAAAUACUCUAGGGAUAACAGCGUAAUAAUUUUUGAUAGAUCUUAUAGACAAAAUAGUUUGCGACCUCGAUGUUGGAUUAGGAUACUUUUUUAAUGAAGAUGUUAAAAAAAGAAGUUUGUUCAACUUUUAAAUUCCUACAUGAUCUGAGUUUAGACCGUGAAACAAUGACGA
rnacentral:rRNA from 1 species